rnacentral:rRNA from 1 species
AUUGAACGCUGGCGGCAAGCCUAACACAUGCAAGUCGAACGAGUGGCGGACGGGUGAGUAAUGUCUGGGAAACUGCCUGAUGGAGGGGGAUAACAACUGGAAACGAUUGCUAAUACCGCCUACCAUCGGAUGUGCCCAGGUGGGAUUAGCUAGUGGGUGGGGUAAAGGCUCACCAAGGCGACGAUCCCGAGCUGGUCUGAGAGGAUGAUCAGCCACACUGGAACUGAGACACGGUCCAGACUCCUACGGGAGGCAGCAGUGGGGAAUAUUGCACAAUGGGCGCAAGCCUGAUGCAGCCAUGCCGCGUGUGUGAAGAAGGCCUUCGGGUUGUAAAGUACUUUAAGCGGGGAGGCGUUACCCGCAGAAGAAGCACCGGCUAACUCCGUGCCAGCAGCCGCGGUAAUUC